GACGAACGCUGGCGGCGUGCCUAAUACAUGCAAGUAGAGCGGAAUGAUGAAGAAGCUUGCUUCUUCUGAUUUUAGCGGCGGACGGGUGAGUAACACGUGGGCAACCUACCUUGUAGAUUGGGAUAACUCCGGGAAACCGGGGCUAAUACCGAAUAAUCCAUUUUGCUUCAUGGCGAGAUGUUGAAAGACGGUUUCGGCUGUCACUAUAAGAUGGGCCCGCGGCGCAUUAGCUAGUUGGUAGGGUAAUGGCCUACCAAGGCGACGAUGCGUAGCCGACCUGAGAGGGUGAUCGGCCACACUGGGACUGAGACACGGCCCAGACUCCUACGGGAGGCAGCAGUAGGGAAUCUUCCACAAUGGACGAAAGUCUGAUGGAGCAACGCCGCGUGAGUGAAGAAGGUUUUCGGAUCGUAAAACUCUGUUGUAAGGGAAGAACACGUACGAGAGUAACUGCUCGUACCUUGACGGUACCUUAUUAGAAAGCCACGGCUAACUACGUG
rnacentral:rRNA from 1 species